GCCUUCAUGGUGUAAUCGUGAGCACGCUAGACUCGUAUUCGAGAGGUCCGUGGUUCGAGUCCCGGCGAAGCCA
rnacentral:tRNA from 1 species